GAUUAAAUGGCUGAUGAAUAGUGGUUGAUUGUAAAUCAUCUUAUAGAGAUUUUCUCUUUUAAUCA
rnacentral:tRNA from 1 species